GAUAGGAGUGAAAUUGACGACUUUCUCAUUCCGGUUGUGAUUUCUCUGCUUAAUGGUUCAGUUGGAACCACAGGAAUGCGCCAUCUGGGAAUAGGCAGUAAAAUGCGAAUUAUUUAUUCGUUCUUUAUUCUUCUCAUGUCGAGGACCAUACUCAUUCAGACAAGCUACCAGAUUUGGAUCUUGUGCAAUUUUUCCACUUCUU
rnacentral:lncRNA from 1 species